UACAGAGGUCUCAAGCGUUGUUCGGAUUCAUUGGGCGUAAAGGGUGCGUAGGCGGCGCGGUAAGUCGGGUGUGAAAUCUCGGAGCUUAACUCCGAAACUGCAUUCGAUACUGCCGUGCUUGAGGACUGGAGAGGAGACUGGAAUUUACGGUGUAGCGGUGAAAUGCGUAGAUAUCGUAAGGAAGACCAGUGGCGAAGGCGGCAUCCUGGACCGACACUGACACUGAGGAGCGAAAGCCAGGGGAGCAAACGGG
rnacentral:rRNA from 1 species